UCUGUUAAUUAUUUUCUUCUCCCUUCCAUCACAUCUCUCUCCUUCUCUCCCUCUCUCUCUCUCUUUAGGUUGUGUUUGUUGGUUUCUUGAUUGGUGGUCUAUUCUGGGGAGUUAUUGCUGACAUCAUUGGACGUAAAAGGGUGCUAUUAAUAGUAACAGUUCUCAUAUUAUUGUUUGGUCUUGCAAGUGCAGCUGCUCCUAAUUAUGGUAGUUUGUUGUUGUUUCGUUGUCUGGCAGGCUUUGGUAUUGGAGGAACAGCUCAGACAAUUACGUACUACACUGAGUUCUUGCCUAAGAAACUCCGCGGGGCCUGUCUGGUACUGAUAGAGGUCUGGCGGGCUAUAGGGAGCUGUUUGGUAGCAUUGCUAGCACUGGGGGUCAUUCCUAAUGUUCCUGAUCCUAUCGAUGUCUCCAAUGAGGAUUUUGAGAACAUUAACUGGAGGAUCUACAUAGCACUCUGUGCUAGCUUUAUCAAUGGCCAUUGUAUUAGUGUUUUUCAUAAUAAGUGGAGAACUGACUCCUCUCUCUCUCUCUCUCUCUCUCUCUCUUCAUUAUUUUCUUUACUGUACAUUAUGAAUUGUAGUUUGUUCCUGAGUCAGCAAGAUUCCAUAUUUCAAAAGGACAAAGAGUCAUAGAAAGCAUUACCAGAAUUAACUUGAAACCUCCACCAAAGAGUCGGCUUGUUUCUCAAGAGGAAAAA